rnacentral:misc_RNA from 1 species
AAAUGCGAUAAGUAAUGUGAAUUGCAGAAUUCAGUGAAUCAUCGAAUCUUUGAACGCACCUUGCGCUCCUUGGUAUUCCUUGGAGCAUGCCUGUUUGAGUAUCAUGAAAUCUUCAAAGUAAAUCUUUUGUUAACUCAAUUGGUUUCUACUUUGGUAUUGGAGGUCUUUGCAGCUUCACACCUGCUCCUCUUUGUUCAUUAGCUGGAUCUCAGUGUUAUGCUUGGUUCCACUCGGCGUGAUAAGUUAUCUAUCGCUGAGGACACUGUAAAAGGUGGCCAAGGUAAAUGCAGAUGAACCGCUUCUAAUAGUCCAUUGACUUGGACAAUACUUUUAUGAUCUGAUCUCAAAUCAGACAAGGAUACCCGCUGAACUUAAGC